AGUGAACGCUGGCGGUAGGCCUAACACAUGCAAGUCGAACGGCAGCACAGUAAGAGCUUGCUCUUACGGGUGGCGAGUGGCGGACGGGUGAGGAAUACAUCGGACUCUACUUUUUCGUGGGGGAUAACGUAGGUAAACUUACGCUAAUACCGCAUACGACCUACGGGUGAAAGCAGGGGAUCCUCGGACCUUGCGCGAUUGAAUGAGCCGAUGUCGGAUUAGCUAGUUGGCGGGGUAAAGGCCCACCAAGGCGACGAUCCGUAGCUGGUCUGAGAGGAUGAUCAGCCACACUGGAACUGAGACACGGUCCAGACUCCUACGGGAGGCAGCAGUGGGGAAUAUUGGACAAUGGGCGCAAGCCUGAUCCAGCCAGACCGCGUGGGUGAAGAAGGCCUUCGGGUUGUAAAGCCCUUUUGUUGGGAAAGAAAAGCAGCAGGUUAAUACCCCGCUGUUCUGACGGUACCCAAAGAAUAAGCACCGGCUAACUUCGUG
rnacentral:rRNA from 1 species